CUACGUGCCAGCAGCCGCGGUAAUACGUAGGUCCCGAGCGUUGUCCGGAUUUAUUGGGYGUAAAGCGAGCGCAGGCGGUUAGAUAAGUCUGAAGUUAAAGGCUGUGGCUUAACCAUAGUACGCUUUGGAAACUGUUUAACUUGAGUGCAAGAGGGGAGAGUGGAAUUCCAUGUGUAGCGGUGAAAUGCGUAGAUAUAUGGAGGAACACCGGUGGCGAAAGCGGCUCUCUGGCUUGUAACUGACGCUGAGGCUCGAAAGCGUGGGGAGCAAACAGGAUUAGAUACCCUGGUAGUCCACGCCGUAAACGAUGAGUGCUAGGUGUUAGACCCUUUCCGGGGUUUAGUGCCGCAGCUAACGCAUUAAGCACUCCGCCUGGGGAGUACGACCGCAAGGUUGAAACUCAAAGGAAUUGACGGGGGCCCGCACAAGCGGUGGAGCAUGUGGUCUAAUUCGAAGCAACGCGAAGAACCUUACCAGGUCUUGACAUCCCUCUGACCUCUCUAGAGAUAGAGAUUUC
rnacentral:rRNA from 1 species